AACGAACGCUGGCGGCAUGCCUAACACAUGCAAGUCGAACGAGACCUUCGGGUCUAGUGGCGCACGGGUGCGUAACGCGUGGGAAUCUGCCCUUGGGUUCGGAAUAACAGUUAGAAAUGACUGCUAAUACCGGAUAAUGUCUUCGGACCAAAGAUUUAUCGCCCAGGGAUGAGCCCGCGUAGGAUUAGCUAGUUGGUGAGGUAAAGGCUCACCAAGGCGACGAUCCUUAGCUGGUCUGAGAGGAUGAUCAGCCACACUGGGACUGAGACACGGCCCAGACUCCUACGGGAGGCAGCAGUGGGGAAUAUUGGACAAUGGCGAAAGCCUGAUCCAGCAAUGCCGCGUGAGUGAUGAAGGCCUUAGGGUUGUAAAGCUCUUUUACCCGGGAUGAUAAUGACAGUACCGGGAGAAUAAGCCCCGGCUAACUCCGUGCCAGCAGCCGCGGUAU
rnacentral:rRNA from 1 species